rnacentral:rRNA from 1 species
CCUACGGGUGGCUGCAGUGGGGAAUAUUGCACAAUGGGGGAAACCCUGAUGCAGCGACGCCGCGUGAGUGAGGAUGUAUUACGGUAUGUAAAGCUCUAUUAGCAGGGAAGAAAAUGACGGUACCUGGUUACGAAGCCCCGGCUAACUACGUGCCCGCAGCCGCGGUAAUACGUAGGGGGCAAGCUUUAUCCGGAUUUACUGGGUGUAAAGGGAGCGUAGACGGCGGCACAGGUCUGGAGUGAAAUGCCGGGGCUUAACCCCGGGACUGCUGUGGAAACUGGGCAGCUAGAGUGCAGGAGGGGUAAGUGGAAUGCGUGGUGUAGCGGUGAAAUGCGUAGAUAUUAGACGGAACACCAGUGGCGAAGGCAGCUUAC